rnacentral:rRNA from 1 species
AUUGAACGCUGGCGGCAGGCCUAACACAUGCAAGUCGAGCGGAUGAGUGGAGCUUGCUCCAUGAUUCAGCGGCGGACGGGUGAGUAAUGCCUAGGAAUCUGCCUGGUAGUGGGGGACAACGUUUCGAAAGGAACGCUAAUACCGCAUACGUCCUACGGGAGAAAGUGGGGGAUCUUCGGACCUCACGCUAUCAGAUGAGCCUAGGUCGGAUUAGCUAGUUGGUGAGGUAAAGGCUCACCAUGGCGACGAUCCGUAACUGGUCUGAGAGGAUGAUCAGUCACACGGGAACGGAGACACGGUCCAGACUCCUACGGGAGGCAGCAGUGGGGAAUAUUGGACAAUGGGCGAAAGCCUGAUCCAGCCAUGCCGCGUGUGUGAAGAAGGUCUUCGGAUUGUAAAGCACUUUAAGUUGGGAGGAAGGGCAGUAAGUUAAUACCUUGCUGUUUUGACGUUACCAACAGAAUAAGCACCGGCUAACUUCGUGCCAGCCGCCGCCGUAACAC